rnacentral:rRNA from 1 species
CCCUUAGAUGUUCUGGGCCGCACGCGCGCUACACUGAUGCAUUCAACGAGCCUAUCCUUGACCGACAGGUCCGGGUAAUCUUUGAAUCUGCAUCGUGACGGGGAUAGAUUAUUGCAAUUAUUAAUCUUCAACGAGGAAUGCCUAGUAGGCGCAAGUCAUCAGCUUGCGUCGAUUACGUCCCUGCCCUUUGUACACACCGCCCGUCGCUCCUACCGAUUGGGUGUGCUGGUGAAAUGUUCGGAUCGGCCGUUUGUCGCGGUUUCCGCGUCAUGUGGCUGAGAAGUUCAUAAAACCCUCCCACCGAGAGGAAGGAGAAGUCGUAACA